CCCGAAUAUGACUCUGGAUAUGGAAUGAUGUCAAAUCCAAUAUCAUACUCAUAUUUCUCUCAAUCUUAUAUAAUGAUUUAAUUAAUAAAAUAUUAGAAACUCUUUCUAAUUUUUGUUCUACUUUGAUCAAAGGCUUCCUGAAUCAUCAAUCGAUCAGAACAAGUAGGAUGUGAUUUCCUCUUACCAGGAGUGAUCGAUUCCAUAUUGACCUACUCACAACCUCCAUACACAUUCUACCAU
rnacentral:lncRNA from 1 species